rnacentral:lncRNA from 1 species
UGACCCUUUGGAUGAUGCCACGUCAAUUAAUGAAUCAGAUCCAAUGGGCGCUGAUUUUUAUUAUUUUUCUAUUUUCUGUUUUAUUUCUUUUAAUUCCUUUUAAUUUCAAAAAUUCAUAAUGAUUUUAUUUGAAGUCACAAAAAUAUGAGACCAAUGGCAAAAAAAAACUUGAAAAAUCUAGUUUCAUAAUCUAAUUUUUAAUUAUUUUUGUGACUUCAUUUAAUAUUUUUUGUGAAUUAC